rnacentral:rRNA from 1 species
UACGUAGGUGGCAAGCGUUGUCCGGAUUUACUGGGCGUAAAGAGCGCGCAGGCGGUCUUGUAAGUCGAGUGUGAAAGCCCCUGGCUCAACCAGGGAGGGUCAUUCGAUACUGCUUGACUCGAAGGCAGGAGAGGGAAGUGGAAUUCCGGGUGUAGUGGUGAAAUGCGUAGAUAUCCGGAGGAACACCAGUGGCGAAGGCGACUUUCUGGCCUGUUCUUGACGCUGAGGCGCGAAAGCUAGGGGAGCAAACGGG